GAUGAACGCUAGCGGCAGGCUUAAUACAUGCAAGUCGUGGGGCAGCAGGGUUGUAGCAAUACAAUCGCUGGCGACCGGCAAACGGGUGCGUAACACGUACGCAACCUUCCCGUUACUGUGGCAUAGCCCAGGGAAACUUGGAUUAAUACCACAUAUUAUAUUGAUGAGGCAUCUCAUUGAUAUCAAAGCUUCGGCGGUAACGGAUGGGCGUGCGGUUGAUUAGGUAGUUGGCGGGGUAACGGCCCACCAAGCCUACGAUCAAUAGCUGAUGUGAGAGCAUGAUCAGCCACACGGGCACUGAGACACGGGCCCGACUCCUACGGGAGGCAGCAGUAAGGAAUAUUGGGCAAUGGACGAAAGUCUGACCCAGCCAUGCCGCGUGAAGGAUUAAGGUCCUCUGGAUUGUAAACUUCUUUUCUCUGGGGCGAAAAAAGGGUUUUCUAACUCGUCUGACGGUACCAUAUGAAUAAGCACCGGCUAACUCCGUGCCAGCCGCCGCAGUAAAAC
rnacentral:rRNA from 1 species